rnacentral:rRNA from 1 species
CUGUCCCUAGUACGAGAGGACCGGGACGGACGCAGCUCUCGUGUGCCAGUUGUUCCGCCAGGAGCAUGGCUGGUUGGCGACCUGCGGAAGGGAUAACCGCUGAAAGCAUCUAAGCGGGAAGCCUGUUCCAAGAUGAGGUCUCUCACCGGGUAACCGGGUAAGGCCCGUGGCAGAACACCACGUUGAUAGGCCGGAAGUGUAAGCACGGUGACGUGUUCAGCUGACCGGUACUAAUCGGCCGAGGGCUUGGUUCAA